AGAGUUUGAUCAUGGCUCAGAGCGAACGCUGGCGGCAGGCUUAACACAUGCAAGUCGAGCGGGCGUAGCAAUACGUCAGCGGCAGACGGGUGAGUAACGCGUGGGAACGUACCUUUUGGUUCGGAACAACACAGGGAAACUUGUGCUAAUACCGGAUAAGCCCUUACGGGAAAGAUUUAUCGCCGAAAGAUCGGCCCGCGUCUGAUUAGCUAGUUGGUAGGGUAAUGGCCUACCAAGGCGACGAUCAGUAGCUGGUCUGAGAGGAUGAUCAGCCACAUUGGGACUGAGACACGGCCCAAACUCCUACGGGAGGCAGCAGUGGGGAAUAUUGGACAAUGGGGGCAACCCUGAUCCAGCCAUGCCGCGAGAGUGAUGAAGGCCCUAGGGUUGUAAAGCUCUUUGUGCGGGAAGAUAAUGACGGUACCGCAAGAAUAAGCCCCGGCUAACUUCGUG
rnacentral:rRNA from 1 species